GCCCGCAUAGAUCAGUGGUAGAUCGUUUCUAACAAAUAGGUCUAUGGGUUUCGUCCACAUUUUCAGAGGAAGUGAGGUUCGAAUCCUCCUGCGGGCA